AGAACGCUCGGGCCAAUCCGCUGCUCCCGGGCGAAAACGUAACUGCGCCUGUGCAUGCGCAGGGCGGGGAGACCUUGGCGAAGCGGCGGAGGCGCCCAGCGGAGGUGAAAGCAUUGGCGGAAAGGAAAAUACCGCGGAAAAAUGCAGAGCUGGAGUCGUGUGUACUGCUCCUUGGCCAAGAGGGGCCAUUUCAAUCGAAUAUCUCAUGGCCUACAGGGACUUUCUGCAGUGCCUCUGAGAACUUACGCAGAUCAGCCAAUUGAUGCUGAUGUAACAGUUAUAGGUUCUGGUCCUGGAGGAUAUGUUGCCGCUAUUAAAGCUGCCCAGUUAGGCUUCAAGACAGUCUGCGUUGAGAAAAAUGAAACACUUGGUGGAACGUGCUUGAAUGUUGGUUGUAUUCCUUCUAAGGCUUUAUUGAACAACUCUCAUUAUUACCAUAUGGCCCAUGGAAAAGAUUUUGCAUCUAGAGGAAUUGAAAUGUCCGAAGUUCGCUUGAAUUUAGACAAGAUGAUGGAGCAGAAGAGUACUGCAGUAAAAGCUUUAACAGGUGGAAUUGCCCACUUAUUCAAACAGAAUAAGGUUGUUCAUGUCAAUGGAUAUGGAAAGAUAACUGGCAAAAAUCAAGUCACUGCUACGAAAGUUGAUGGCGGCACUCAGGUUGUUGAUACAAAGAACAUUCUUAUAGCUACGGGUUCAGAAGUUACUCCUUUUCCUGGAAUCACGAUUGAUGAAGAUACAAUAGUGUCAUCUACAGGUGCUUUAUCUUUAAAAAAAGUUCCGGAAAAGAUGGUUGUUAUUGGUGCAGGAGUAAUAGGUGUAGAAUUGGGUUCAGUUUGGCAAAGACUUGGUGCAGAUGUGACAGCAGUUGAAUUUUUAGGUCAUGUAGGUGGAGUUGGAAUUGAUAUGGAAAUAUCUAAAAACUUUCAACGCAUCCUUCAAAAACAGGGGUUUAAAUUUAAAUUGAAUACAAAGGUUACUGGUGCUACCAAGAAGGCAGAUGGAAAAAUUGAUGUUUCUAUCGAAGCUGCUUCUGGUGGUAAAGCUGAAGUUAUCACUUGUGAUGUACUCUUGGUUUGCAUUGGCCGACGACCCUUUACUAAGAAUUUGGGACUAGAAGAGCUGGGAAUUGAACUAGAUCCCAGUGGUAGAAUUCCAGUUAAUACCAGAUUUCAAACUAAAAUUCCAAAUAUCUAUGCCAUUGGUGAUGUAGUUGCUGGUCCAAUGCUGGCUCACAAAGCAGAGGAUGAAGGCAUUAUCUGUGUGGAAGGAAUGGCUGGUGGUGCUGUGCACAUUGACUACAAUUGUGUGCCAUCAGUGAUUUACACACACCCUGAAGUUGCUUGGGUUGGCAAAUCAGAAGAGCAGUUGAAAGAAGAGGGUAUUGAGUACAAAGUUGGGAAAUUCCCAUUUGCUGCUAACAGCAGAGCUAAGACAAAUGCUGACACAGAUGGCAUGGUGAAGAUCCUUGGGCAGAAAUCGACAGACAGAGUACUGGGAGCACAUAUUCUUGGACCAGGUGCUGGAGAAAUGGUAAAUGAAGCUGCUCUUGCUUUGGAAUAUGGAGCAUCCUGUGAAGAUAUAGCUAGAGUCUGUCAUGCACAUCCGACCUUAUCAGAAGCUUUUAGAGAAGCAAAUCUUGCUGCAUCAUUUGGCAAAUCAAUCAACUUUUGAAUUAGAAGAUUAUAUUUUUUUUUUCUGAAAUUUCCUGGGAGCUUUUGUAGAAGUCACAUUCCUGAACAGGAUGUUCUCACAGCUCCAAGAAUUUCUAGGACUGAAUUAUGAAACUUUUGGAAGCAUUUGUCUUCAACAGAAUGUCUUCAGCACUCUGUUUUGCCUCAUCUGCCCUCAGUUUUGCUUCAGAGACCUAAAUGUGAAGAAUAAAUUACCCAUGGAAGACUUUCAUUCUUUCUGAAGGAGACCAGAAUAUUGGAAAUGGCCCAGAAAUGAUGUUGAAAAACUAUGUUACUUGGAAUCAUGUGUCUGGGAAACAGCUUUCUCCCAUUCAACAAAGUAUUGUAUUCUUACAGACAAAGUACUCAGUAUAGAGAUUCCUAAACAGUGUUCUUAUAUAAAUACAACUAGCAUUUAAAAUUUUUCAAGUUGUUUUUAACUCCUGGCCUAUAAAAUAGUCCUGAGUCUUUUUCUCAGGUACCCACAUAAAUAUUUAAAAAGUGUGUGUCACUUUAGAAGAAUAAAUGCUCAGUUGCUUAGUAUAGAAUUUUUGUCGUACAGCUGGAUGUAUUUAUAACCCUGGAGUCAGAUAAGUAAAAUGGCUAUCUCAAAUUAUCCAGUAUAAGAUUUAAACAUCUUGCACUAAAGCAUGUGUUAUUCUCCUCUGAGUGAGUAGAAAGCAAAUUCUUUAUUUGUAAAGAAAAUCUCCCCAUCUCUUUCUCUGACCUCACAGAAACAUGAACUUUCAUAUUUGAUUAUGAUAUGCCCUUUUCAUUUCAGUUAGCAUUUAGAAUUGAUUUCUCCCUUUCAGAUCCUCUAGUCCACAGCUGAAAGCAAACAUACAUAACAAAAACUGAGGACAUCCACUAAAUUACCAUCU